CAUUGCUCUUUGGCCAUAAUCCAAUCAGUUGUAAACCAAAACGAUUUAAUUCAACUGCCCAUGUAAAAUCUAGCAACAUAAUAAAAUUAUGCGUCAAGAGUUUGUUGAAAUUUACAGUAUUUUGAAACAAAACAAUCUAAAAUCGAAUAUUAGUAAAAAAAUUUUUAGACAUGUAGUUAUAAUAAAACUAUAAAGAUUUCUAAGAAAUUGCAAAAUGUAUUAACUUUAUUCAAGAAUAUCCCAUUUAAAUACAUCACAAUCAUAGAAUAAUAUAUUCACAUUAAACCUCUGAAUUAUGAGAACAUAUACCUAGAAGAGUCUAAAAAAUUAUUUUUAAAGUCUAAUAUCUUAAAAAUGUUUUUGUAAAAUUUUAAAUUGAUUCAAUGAGAAACAAAAGAGUUAUACAAAAUUAUAGUCAACUGUCUGACGGCGCGCUAAUGCAAACUCUCAAUUAGAUACUUUUAUUUAUGAUUACAAUAAUUCGGAAGAUGUUUUAAUUGCGAUUAAAUCCGUUUAUGAGAACUCAAAUCAAAAUGCUUCAAUAAAAUGAUGCGUUGGUGGCUCUAUUCAAAAUAAUAAUGAAAGUUUCUACAAUAUUAUAUGGAAAUAUGAUAUACAUACAAUAUUAUAUGGCAAUAUGCUAUACAUACAUUUAAAGAAGAUGCAUCAAUAUUAUUGCAAUCCUUCAAGCAUUGUAAGUGAAAAUGGGUCCAUAUCCAUAUACACAUGCAUAUACCACUGUGGAAAAUGAGGAUCACAUAUUUCAGUUGAAGAUGUGCGCAUUAAGCAGUACAAGAGAAGAAAUUUUACGUCGUUAAUAAAAGCAAAGCGAUUUUGUAGAACCAUCCACCUUGGCAAAAGAUUUGCUUUAUAGUGGAGUAGACGAUUCAAUAUGCAAUCUAUAGAAGCAACAAUGCUGUUUUUUUAAAAUAUGGUUUGAAGAAACUGAAGCGAUGCCGCCAUAUUAUAUUUUUUUUUAAUAACAUUUAAAUGUUAAAGAAAAGUGAUCUUUUCUCAAUAGAACAAAUCCAACGUUUUUAUCUCUUUCCAUUUUUUCUUAAAGAAUCCGCAAAGUUAGGGUUACUUUAUUUUGACACGUCUAGGUAUAUGUUCUCCUUAGUGAUAUU